rnacentral:lncRNA from 1 species
AUCUCCCAGAUCAACUUAAUUCACCAAUUUGCCUCUUCCUUUCGUUAAUAAUUAAUGAUCAUUGAGAUCAUUUUGCUUGGGGGAAGUUAACUACUCUCUAGCUGCAGGGAAAUUUAUCACCUACUUGUUAUUCUGCCUUGUUCAAAAUUCAACUUUGAGAAAAGACAGCUCUCUCAUGAAGCUAUCUUAAGCAGGUUUUACAUUUAUUUAGUCAAAGGUCUUCCCAGACAUUUUUUUUUUUAAGAACUCCAAGUCUGCAUGUACCCGACCUAGAUUUAACUCUUACUCCCCACAGCUUCAGGUAUUUUUCCUUAGUAUAUCAAUUUGACAUGCUGAAUGGAAGAAUACUAAGAAAAAACUGUUCAGUAUUUUAUUUUAUGAUGAGUUGGUAGCAGAUUCCAUUUCAAGACCUUCUAGAGAGAGGAGUGUAGAUGGACAAUCCUAAAUUGUAAGAUGUUAACAAAAAACAGAUGGAGUAAGAAUACCCCUGAAGACACAAAUAGAGAAGUUAGGGUUUGAGGAAUUUCACAGAGUAACUUAGCUAAAACUUGAUAUCAGAAGCAGCCUUUAACAGAAGCCUCUUGGCAGUUGUAUGGUACUAACCAGAGUACUGAAGUGCACGCUGAAACCAAGUUGCAGUGGGAAAUCAAAGGUGAGGUAACAGAUUCAAAACCAGUAAAACAACAGGUUGCAGAGUUUUGAAAUCUCUUCUAACAAAGUAGCUGCACGGUAGCAAGGACGAGCCGUCCUCAAAGCCCUUUCUUUUCAGUGUUCUCCUUCACCUUGGCACACAAGUAUGUUCAACAGGCCAUACAUUAGAAUAUAUAUACAAAAAAAAAAAAUUCAAAGCUGCUUAAAGGGAACUUACAAACUGAGACUCUUCUCUAUGUUAAUAGUGGCUAGAAGCUUAGUUAUAUGCACAAAAGCUAGAAGCCACUUGUUUCUACACAGAUUGUAGGAGCAAGGUGAGAUUGGCAGGUUUGGGGACAGGGCCCCCAGUUCUGAGGAAAGGCGUAUCCAUGGUAUUGGGUGUGCUAUUGCUGGUGGGGAGACCACAUUUGGGGAAAUGAUGGGCUUUGGUUUGUAAUUUCCCUUUAAACAAGAAGAGAUGGCUCACAUUUUCCAUGUAUAUCUCAAUGAAUGUACUGUAUUACCAUUUUAAAAAUUUGAUGAAAUAAUAAUUGAUUGGUCUCCUUUUGUUUUCUGGUCCUUGUUUAAUUUGUUUAAGGGUUUUUGUAUACAAAAGUUUACAUUUUUAUGUAUAUUUUUCUUGUGUAAAAACUGAUGUAAUAUGUGUAUAAAACACUGUAUGUAUUAUCUGUAUAUAGUGUGACAAAAUGAUUUUUCUUUCUUUCUUUUGGAUGUAUUAAUAAAUCUUGCUGUGAAGU